GAACGGAUAUCUCACUGACGAGACCGCUAGACCUGCUGCUCAUUGGGAUGUCCUGAUCCCCAGCCAGGUCGUAGACCCUAUUGCCCAUGUGCACUCUUUAAUAGAGAUUGCUCUGUGGUCCCUAGGGGAUCUUGCUGCCUUUAUCUUCAUAUCUUGGAUCUUUGUGUUAUGUUGUACAUUCACUUGUGCCUCUAUGUUAUAAUCACACCCAAGUUUUUCUCUGCUACCUAGGUCCCCCCAAGAUAAACCUAUCUCCUACAAAGCGCAGCCUCCUUCACCAUGGGCUAUCUAUUUAAGUUGGGGUGACCUCGGAGCAUAAAACAACCUCCGAUCGAUUAAUACCUAUACUAACAUCUCACAGUAUUACAUCACACAUUGAUCCAAACUAUUUUGAUCAACAGAACAAGUUACCCUAGGGAUAACAUCGCAAUCCUAUUUAAUAGUCCAUAUCGACAAUAAGGUUUACUACCUCCAUGUUGGAUCACGACAUCCCAAUGGUGCAGCAGCUAUUAAUGGUUCGUUUGUUCAACGAUUAAAGUCCUACGUGAUCUAUUCCAAAACCGGGCCGA
rnacentral:rRNA from 1 species